AGUGAAGAGAAGAAUUUUGAAAUUCAAGAUUAGUUUCUUCGCUCUUCGUCUCUUUCUCUCUCCCUCUCUUAUCUUAAACUCAUCGUUGCUUUUGCUCUCUCGCCGUCGUCUGAGUCGGCAAAAAUGAGUAAGAAAUCGCGAAAAAAAUGAGUAAGAAAUCGCGAGAAUCUGACGCUGACGAUAGUGAGAAGCCAUGGACCCUGGCAGAUUUCGAGAUCGGGAGACCACUGGGAAAGGGUAAAUUUGGCAGAGUCUAUCUCGCUCGAGAAGUUAAGGUCUGCCAUGGUUUUGAACUUUGAAGGUGAAGAAGAAGAAGACACGAGUGCUCACCGAAAUGGCUCUAAGAUUCAUGAAGCUCGCCAAAAAGUUCUCAGGAAUAUAUAAAAAAAAGAUGGAGACAAGCCUGUUUUGGUAACAUAGUGUGUCACCAUCUCUCCUUGUAUUCUUAUGAACUGUAGAUUAGAAUAACGCUUCCUUUCUUUCCUUCACGACCUGUUUACCGGGUUUGGUGAACAAAUGUCUCUGUGUUAUUAGGGAGCUAUAAUGAAAUACCUAUAAUGUAUAAUGAAAGAAAGGAAGCGCUAUUCUCAUCUACGUUCAUAUGAAUCCAAGGAUGUUAAAAAAUUUGAGAGAGACGUUGGAAUAAUGCUGGGAUAGGGCAGAAGCUGUUCCAGGAAGAUCAAAAAAAAAAAAUGAAAACAAGACUGCUAUGGUAACAUAGUGUGUCACCAUCUCUCAUACACAUAUGAGCUUUAUGCGUAUCAUAUCAAGCCCAUAUGUGCAUGAGAGAUGUGACACACCAUGUUACCAAAACAGGCUUGUCUCCAUCUUUUUUUUUUAUCUACCUGAGAACAUUUUUAUCUUCUAGAGAUUUAGAAACCUAAUUGGUUGCGAUUUUGUUCACAUUUAUGAUAUAGAGCAAGUUCAUAGUUAGGCGCUCAAAGUGAUAUCCUCGGCCUCUACGGUUGGUUCCAUGACGACGAUGAAGGCAUUUUCUUGAUUCUCUCGAGUAUGCUCAUGGUCAUGGUGGUGAGCUCUAAUCUAUGGCCUCCUCAAAGAGAAUGGCCAUCUCUCUGAAAAGCAAGCAAGCCGCCACUAGUACAUUGUAAAUCUCAGUCAGGCACGAGCCUAUUGUCAUGGAAAUCUGUGAUUCACAGAGACAUCGUACCUGAAAACGUUGUUGCUCGAUCAUGAGAAGAAACUUAAAACCGCAGCUCCUGAUGAGCUUGUGCUUGUCCAAUUUAAUGGUAUGCAGAAUUCUUCAUAUCGAUCUGUACUUUUCCUACUACCCCAAAUGUUUCAGCAGAAGCCAAACAUCUUAUCAGUCAGCUUCUUGUUAAGGAGGAUCUCUCAGAAACGACUCUCCAUUGAUAAGAUCAUGCAACAUCCGUGGAUUGUCAAGAAAGAACGCAGAUCCUAAAGCCUCACUCUUUAUCCGGUAGCGACAUUGAUAAAAUUGUCAGAGAAACCCAAGG